UACAGAGGGGGCAAGCGUUAUUCGGAAUUAUUGGGCGUAAAGGGCGCGUAGGCGGCUUGGCAAGUGGAUGGUGAAAUCCCUCGGCUUAACCGAGGAACUGCCAUCCAGACUGCUUUGCUUGAGGCCGGGAGAGGUGAGUGGAAUUCCCAGUGUAGCGGUGAAAUGCGUAGAUAUCUGGAGGAACACCGGUGGCGAAGGCGACAUCCUGGACCGGCAUUGACGCUGAGGCGCGAAAGCCAGGGGAGCAAACGGG
rnacentral:rRNA from 1 species